UUCAGGGCUACCAUCCUAAGAUAUCAUUCCUUAUGUGGUCCUGUUCUUCAGCCUGGAAUUGUUGAGCUUAGAUAUUAUACUAGGGUAAAAGGCAUAGUUUUCACCUAAUAUCUUGACAGAGUAGAAUGUCAAAACUUGAAGGGAGUGCUGGAAUGUAAUUCAGUGAUAGAACACUUGCCUAGCAUAUGCAAAGCCCUGGGUUCAAUCCCCAGUACUGCAAAGAAAUACAUAAAUAAUUUAAGUUGGGUGUGGUGGCACAUGCCUAUAAUCACAGCAACUCAGGAGGCUGAGACAGGAGGAUUACAAUUUGAAAGCCACCCUUAGCAACUUAAAGACACUCUGUCUCAAAAAAUGAAAAAAGGGAUAGGGAUAUUGUUCAGUUCUUAAGUGCCUCUGAGUUCAAUUCCCAGCAUGCCCCUCUCCCCCCAAACAAAACAAACAAACAAAAAAAUUGAAGGAGGGCUGGGGAUAUAGCUCAUUUGAUAGAGUGCUUGCCUUGCAUGCACAAGGCCCUGGGUUCAAUCCCCAGCACCACAAAAAACAAAAAAAACCAAAAACUUGAAGGGACUUCAGGACCUCUUAUAUCUUCUGGACCCCCCCCCCCCAACUGCUUUUUUUUUUUUUUUUUGUGGGGGGGGAGAAAAACUAAGGACAGAAGAAAUACUAUGAUUCAGUGUUAUGCUGUUGGUGGCAGAUUCAGAAGUAGAAUUCAGAUUUCUUGUCUCAACCCAUUUUGAACAGGGUCUUACUGAGUUAUCCAGACUAUCCUUGAAAGUGUGAUCCUUCUACCUGAGCCUUUGUGUAGAUUCUCUUAAAUGCUUAUCUGCUUUUAUCAAGGACACUUACGACUUCCCUCAUGUUAAAUCUAAUGGCCAAUUUAUUACCCACAUCUUCCUUUAAAACAUGACAGUUCAUCACUCCCUCUUAAAACAUUUGUGUCAUUUGGUCAGUAGAAGACCAGUGUUCCUUUCUGGUCUCUUUUACUUGGUUUGCCCUAUCUUUAAGAUUUUUAAAUGGAUUGAUUCUUUUCUUCUCUAUGUUCACUCAGAAUAGGAAUCUUUUCUAGUUCCUAUGCCUCAAAUUCCUGAAUAUUUUUUCUAAUGAUUGUGAAAUGUAGCACUUCACCCUCUUAUGGACCUUAGACCCACUACAUUGUAUUUCUACUUAAAAUAUAUUAAAUUAAUUAUCUCCAACUUAAUGUGUGAAAUUGAAUUCUGUAUUUCUCCCCAACUUGCUCUUCCUCUAGUUUUUUCCAUCCCACUUAAAGACACAUUUAACUUUCUUUUAUAACAAAAAUUACUUUGGUUCCUCUUACAUAUUUCCUUUUAGUUUUACCUUCAAAAUAAAAUUGGAAUGAUUAAGCCACUUUCUUUUUCUAUUCUUUUUUAAAAAAAUAUUUUUAGUUGUAGAUGGACAUAGUACUUUUAUUUAUUUUAUAUAAUGCUAAGGAUCGAACCUAGUAGCUCACAUGUGUUAGGCAAGUGCUCUACCACUGAGUUAUAACCCCAGUCCUCUUUUUUUUUUUUUUUUGGUUCUCGGGAUUGAAUUCAGGGGCACUCGACCACUAAGCCACAUCCCAAACCAUUUUUUGUAUUUAGAGACAGGGUCUCACUGAGUUGCUUAGCAUCUUGUUUUUACUGAGGCUGGCUUUGAACUUGUGAUCCUCCUGCCUUAGCCUCCUGAACCUCUGGGAUUACAGAUGUGUGCCACUCACCCAACCCCUCUCCUCUAUUUUUAAUCUUUUAUUUUUUAGUUUUAGGUAGAUACAAUAUCUUUAUUUUUAUGUGGUGCUGAGAAUCGAACCCAGUGCCUCAAGCAUGCUAGGUGAGCGCGAAACCACUUGAGCCACAUCCCCAGCCCCUAUUUUUAUUCUUAAGUGCAAAAUAUUGUGUUAAUCAUACUCAGCUCAUGACAGGUUUUUUUUUUUAAAUAUAUGUUUUAGUUGUUGAUGGACACAAUACCUUUACUUAAUUAAUUUAUUUUUAUGUGGGGCUGAGGAUCAAACCCAGUGCCUCACACAUGUGAGGCAAGCACUCUACCACUGAGCCACAACCCCAGCCCAUAACAGAUUUUUAAGUGCACUGUAUAAAGCGCUCUUGUUUUGCUUGUUUUAUAUUUACAACCCAUUUUCUCUCCCCCACAGAAAACCAUUCUGAUGUGUUUAAUGUCAUUUUGUCUAGAUAUAUUAUUGUAUUUCAAUUGCUCCCCCGCACCCCACCAUACUAAUUUAUAAUUUGUUGCUUCUGUCUUUCUAAUACUCUGUGGUAUGUAUCUAUCACAUUUUACUUGUCCGUUUUUGUCAUUAUGGGCAUCUAGUCUGUGACCACUACCACAGCUAAUGCUGUAUAUCAGCUUCAUAUUUGUUUCCUUGAGGAAGAACUUUGUGAGAAUUUCUUUGGAAUAGAGACCCAUAAGCAGAUUUGCUGGGAUACAUCAAAUUUCACAGAGUUUGAGGCCAUCCUUUAUAAAUUUAGCUACUACAAUAGGUGUGAAGUGGUAAGUAACAUUAUUUUUGCUUGUAUGUUUCUCAUCACUAAUGAAUUUUUUUUGAAGGUACUGGGGAUCGAACUCCAGGGCACUUGACCACUGAACCACAUCCCCAGCCCUAUUUUUUGUAUUUUAUUUAGAGACAGGGUCUCACUAAAUUGCCUAGGCUGGCUUUGAACUCACGAUCUUCCUAUCUCAGCCUCCCAAGCCGCUGGGAUUACAGGUGUGCGCCACCACGCCCGGCAUCACUAAUGAAUAUAUUGCAUCGAUUAUAUAUUUAUUAGAUUGGAGUUUUCUGGAAAUUUUCAUAUCCUUUGUCCAUUUUCUUGUUAGGAUUGUUGUCUCUUGUUUUUGAAGAAUUAAUUUCUUUUAAAUUCUAUAUCUAUGUUAUGUAAUGUGGUAGCUUUAGCCACUGACUAAAAUACAAAUUAAUUAAAAUUAAAUAAAGCCAGGCCUGGUGGCACAUGCCUAUAAUCCCAAGCCUUGGGAGGUUAUUGUAGGGGGAUCAUGAAUUCAAAGCCAGCCUCAGCAAUUUAGUGAGGCCCUACGCAACUCAGUGAGACCCUGUCUCUAAAUAAAAUGUAAAAAAGGGCUUGGGAUGUGGUUCAGUAGUUAAACGCCCCUGGGUUCAACCCCUAAUACAGAAAAAAAUAUGUUUGCUAGGUAUGGUAAUAUACACCUUUAAUUGCAACUAGAAGGGGUCUGAGGCAGGAGGUUCAUGAAGUUGGAGGCCAGCCUCUCAAACUUAGUGAGACCCCGUCAGAAAGUAGAAAAUAAAAAGGGCUGGGGAUGUAGCUCAGUACUCAGCACUCCUAGGUUCAGCCCCCAGUACUGUAAGAAAAAAUUGAAUUUCCUGUCCUCAAAUAAGCUACGUUUUACGUUCUCAGUAGCCAUAUGUAAAUGGUUACUACUGUAUUGGAUAGCAUAGAUAUAGAAUGCUUUUAUCAUCAGAAAUUUUUUGGUUAAUGUUAAGCUCUAGUUAUUCCUUGUCAGCUUUGUAUAUAGCAAAUAUCUUGUAUGUUAGUUAUUUUGUUCAAAAUGAGCUUUGUUCAGUAGAAAUCCUUAAUUUUAUUUUUUUAGUUUUGUUUUGUGUGGUACUUGGAUUGAACCUAGCACCUUGCUCAUGCCAGGCAAGUGCUAUUCCACUGUUUAUACUCCCAGCCUCAGCGCGCCCUCCCCCCGCCCCUUUUUGUUUUGUUAUCGGUAUCAUAUAUUGAAUCCAGGGGCGCUUCACCACUGAUCUUCAUCCUUUUUUUUUUUUUAAUUAUUAAGUGGUGUUGAGGAUCAAACCCAGUGCCUCAUGCAUUCUAGGUGAACAUUCUACCACUGAGCCACAACCCCAGCUCUCCCCACCGCUUUUUACUUUUUGAGACAGGACCUUGCUAAGUUGCCAAGGCUGUCUUGAACUUGGGAUCUUCCUGCCUCAGCCUCCUGGCUUAAAAUUCUAAUUUACGCCUGUUUUCUAAGGUAGUGCCCUUUUCUCAUUCUCAGAAUUUUUUGGAUGAUAAUUUAGGCACUCUUAAUUAUUAUUAUUUUAAUUUUGAAUUUGAAUUGUUUUAUGGUAUUUUUUUUAA